UAGGGAAUCUUCGGCAAUGGGGGGAACCCUGACCGAGCAACGCCGCGUGAGUGAAGAAGGUUUUCGGAUCGUAAAGCUCUGUUGUUAAGGAAGAACGAGUGUGAGAAUGGAAAGUUCAUACUGUGACGGUACUUAACCAGAAAGGGACGGCUAACUACGUGCCAGCAGCCGCGGUAAUACGUAGGUCCCGAGCGUUGUCCGGAAUUAUUGGGCGUAAAGCGCGCGUAGGCGGUUAGAAAAGUCUGAAGUGAAAGGCAGUGGCUCAACCAUUGUAGGCUUUGGAAACUGUUUAACUUGAGUGCAGAAGGGGAGAGUGGAAUUCCAUGUGUAGCGGUGAAAUGCGUAGAUAUAUGGAGGAACACCGGUGGCGAAAGCGGCUCUCUGGUCUGUAACUGACGCUGAGGCUCGAAAGCGUGGGGAGCGAACAGG
rnacentral:rRNA from 1 species